CAGCCAUGCAGGGCAGAGUCAGGACUGGUAUUUUCAGGGCAGGGAUGUACCGUGGCCUCUCUGCUCUGCUCCGCUCCUACCCCUACACAUCCACUUCUGUUGCUUUGCAACACACAGCCCGUUCCCAGUUCAGGAGGACACUUUUCCACUUGCAAUUGUCUUAACUGUUUUGGAUCCCCUCCCACAGUCAUCACCUAAAUGCUCUCCCCUCUCUCUGCAGGCAGAGGUCAAACCUGUGUCCUUGCUGCCAACUGAAAAGCAAAUCGAUUGACAUCUUCUAGGAGGCAAUUGCACUCUUCGAAAGCCAAAUGGAAUCUCUCAUUUGCUGCAGCUGCAAGAAGAUUAACAGGUUGUGUCUCCCAUUCUCAGCCCUCAAC
rnacentral:lncRNA from 1 species